UGUACAUUUUUCUUAGAAUAAUCAUGGCUUUUUUUGUGUAAUGCCAGCAUAUAACAAUACAUUCUAUUGGUUUGAAGUAGCUGAUUAUAAUUUGUGUGUUUAGGCAAACAUCGCUGUUUAACAUACCCUACUACCAAACAUAUUUUAGUGGGACAACACAAGUUGGAGAUUGAAGGUGCCUCCUCCGUCUGCAAGAUUUUCCAGGGUCCCAGGUAAACAUUGAUUAAAUGAAUGUUAUAAAUACUACAUUGAAUUUAUAAUGAGCACAUGUGCAUCCAGUGGCCGUAGACGGGAAAAAGUUUGAACUCCUGCCACUGCUUCGUGGAUUCUGUACUUUUUUCAAUGCCUUUGCCAUCCUGGAGAAUUGUCU